rnacentral:rRNA from 1 species
AACACAAUAAGCACUCCGCCUGGGGAGUACGGUCGCAAGACUGAAACUCAAAGGAAUUGACGGGGACCCGCACAAGCAGCGGAGCAUGUGGUUUAAUUCGAAGCAACGCGAAGAACCUUACCAAGGCUUGACAUCCCCUUGACCGGCACAGAGAUGUGCCCUCUCCUUCGGGAGCAAGGGUGACAGGUGGUGCAUGGUUGUCGUCAGCUCGUGUCGUGAGAUGUUGGGUUAAGUCCCGCAACGAGCGCAACCCUUAUCCUUAGUUGCCAGCAGGUAAAGCUGGGCACUCUAAGGAGACUGCCGAUGAUAAAUCGGAGGAAGGUGGGGAUGACGUCAAAUCAUCAUGCCCCUUAUGUCUUGGGCUACACACGUGCUACAAUGGUCGGUACAAAGGGCAGCGAAGGAGUGAUCUGGAGCAAAUCCCAAUAAACCGAUCCCA